rnacentral:rRNA from 1 species
AUAAAACUGAAGGGUUUGAUACUGGCUCAGAACGUACGCUGACGGAAUGGAUUAGGCAUGCAAGUCGAACGAGCGAACUCUUCGGAGUGAGCUAGUGGCGAACGGGUGAGUAAUGCGUGGAUGAC